GAUGAACGCUGGCGGCGUGCCUAAUACAUGCAAGUCGAGCGAGAAUCUGAUGAAUGGAGAUUCGUCAAAAUGAAUCAGAGGAAAGCGGCGGACGGGUGAGUAACGCGUGAGCAAUCUGCCCCUGAUUGCGGGAUAACAGAGAGAAAUUUCUGCUAAUACGGCAUAACACAUCGGGACCGCAUGGUUCUGGUGUCAAAGAUUCAUUGAUCAGGGAUGAGCUCGCGUCCGAUUAGAUAGUUGGUGACGGUAACGGCGCACCAAGUCGACGAUCGGUAGCCGGACUGAGAGGUUGAACGGCCACAUUGGGACUGAGACACGGCCCAGACUCC
rnacentral:rRNA from 1 species